rnacentral:tRNA from 1 species
CAAGGAAUAGUUUAUUAAAAUUUUAAUUUUGGAGAUUAAAGAUAAAGAAGUUAUCUUUUUCCUUGA